ACGAAGGGGGCUAGCGUUGUUCGGAUUUACUGGGCGUAAAGGGCGCGUAGGCGGUGCGAUAAGUCAGGCGUGAAAGCCCCGGGCUCAACCCGGGAAUAGCGCUUGAUACUGUUGCGCUUGAAUCCAGGAGAGGAUGGCGGAAUUCCCAGUGUAGAGGUGAAAUUCGUAGAUAUUGGGAAGAACACCAGUGGCGAAGGCGGCCAUCUGGCCUGGAAUUGACGCUGAGGCGCGAAAGCGUGGGGAGCAAACAGGA
rnacentral:rRNA from 1 species